UUUUUCGUGUCGGCAUUAUAGAUGAAUUUUGUUUUUCAAAAAAUGUUAACAAGAACUCAUUUAAGCUCCGUCGGUAGUGGGGUCCAUGCCAUCUUUAACCAAUCACACCUUUUUUUUUAAAGUUUACCACUUCACCAAGUGUCUAACCAUUGCCAACCCUUUUCAACAUAGUUUAAACACUUAUGACUGAAUGACGUGGCACACUCUCAUUGGUUAAUUUUGAAGUUUACCACUUUCAAGUGUCUAACCACUCCCUACACCCUAAUGUAUACUAUAUUUCAUUGUGGCAAGUGGCAUUGUGGAGCCCACAAGAACUGCUAAAUGUAUACUAUAGCACGGAUGGGACUAGUCAAAGAGUUGGAAAGGGAUUGUGCACGACAGUGAGAUGCCUCAACAAAUUAAAUAUUGAGAUGGGACUUCACCUUUAGAUAUAU
rnacentral:lncRNA from 1 species